GUGUUUGCUUUAUUUUUCACUUUUUGAUUCAUGAUCAGUGAUACAGCAUGUUGCGUUUCAUUUAACAGAUUCAAUUGUCAUAGCCUUUUGGGUUGGACUUGCUACAUUCUUGAUGUUUCUCUUCCUCAUUUUGCUCUACAUGUCCAGAUCUGGAUCCACACCAGUAAAACAGGUGGCUAUAAAUAACCGGGAAGAAGAAAACAGCUCCAGUGGUGACUGAUUCACAUAGAAGAUCAGCCAGACAGAUUCAGAUUUGAUCCCUUCUGAAACACAUCCUUCUCUCUCAGAUGAAACGGACAUGCAUGGAAGUACCUCAGGCUGAGCUAGAACUGGAAGCAGAUUCCACAAAAAUAGACAUGAUGUUGUAACAGGAAUUGAAAAAAAUCAGUACUUUUGAUAUUAUUACAUAUAGAUAAAAUGAAUUUACCCUAUGUACUCAAAUAUGAAAUGAGGUCAUCCCCCCACCAAUCUUCAUAGGGAAAAAAAGCUCCUCAUCUUACAUUCUUACAAGGAAACCUGAUUUAAAACACUGACUAUCACCAAACUGCUGCCAGAAGCAGCAUGUGCUUAGUAAUGCAAACCCACUAUGAAGUUGAUUAAAUGAAGCCAGUACUGCAUAUGGCUAUAAAACCUAGGACCCAUAUUGGGCAACCAUACUGAUGAGAACCUUUCAUUUUAUUUUGGUCCUUAAAAAAAAUGGGUCGGUGUUGCCACCACAGGGAACUGGCAUCAGGCCUGGGGCCACUGCAAUACUAGACUGGCACUGGGAGGGCCAGAGCUAGCCCCACAACACCCUCCCUCUGGUGCCAAAAAUGCUGCAUCUUAGCCUAGGAUCUUAGCCAAAAAAUUGAUCUUAGCCAAAACAGCCGAGAUGCCUAUCAAUUAUUUUUUAAAUUUCAUGCCUUAAGCUGAAUCAGCCAAAUCAGUUCCAAAUUCUAUCAGCUGAGCAGAGCUCAAUCAUUCAAGUUUGUGUGGUGUUACCACUGGCAAGUAUCCUACUUCCCAGAUUCUUCAGCCUAGGGCUUCAGGUAUUCCCAGAUCCAUGGUAGGCAUCAAGCCCCAAGGUAGGUUCAAGCCCCAAGCCUGGAGGCCUCGGAGUUCAAAUACCCCCUAGGUAAAAGGCUGACGAAACAAGCUAGAAGCCUGAGAGCAAUAUCCCAUCACCAUAAAUUGUAUAGCCAAGAUC
rnacentral:lncRNA from 1 species